rnacentral:rRNA from 1 species
AGCUCCAGAAGCGUAUAUUUAAAUUGUUGCUGUUAAAAAGCUCGUAGUUGGAUUUCUGGUGUGGUGCGGUCGGUCCGUCGCCGAUAGGCGAUCGAGUACUGGCGUUGCGCCUACCAUCCCUUCUGGAGAGGCCCGCUGCGCUUCACUGCGUGGUGGGAGUCACCGAUCCAGAUCGUUUACUUUGAAAAAAUUAGAGUGUUUAAAGCAGGCGUCAGCCACUGAAUACAUUAGCAUGGAAUAAUGAGAUAGGACUUUGGCCCUAUUUUGUUGGUUUCUAGGACUGAAGUAAUGAUUGAUAGGGACAGUUGGGGGUGCUAGUAUUUAACGGCCAGAGGUGAAAUUCUUGGAUUCGUUAAAGACUAACUAAUGCGAAAGCAUUCACCAAGGAUGUCUUCUUUAA